GGUGCCGACGCAGCAACAGGUGAGGUGCCGAGGUGCCGACGCAGAGUGAUAGUGGGAGAAGAAAGGUGUGGGAGAAAUGUGUUGUUCGCUGCAGAAGGGAGAGUAGAGCCUUUCAGGUAUACGCCACCGGAGCAGCGCCGUUCGGCAGGGAAAUUUAAAAACUGACAGCGAGUUCAUCAGUUAUUAAGAACUGACAGCGAGUGUUUCAAAUAUUAAGAACUGAGAGCGACCCUGCCUGCUCCAGCUGACGGAUUUGAGACUUAUUCCGAUCUCCUUUAUGAACCGCUCGUAGACUUUGAGUUCGAGCAAAUGAACAAGCUGUAUCUGUAUAAGGUAUAGAAGUUGGAUCAGAGGCAGUGCGGUAUCUUGGUGUUGGCGACGAUAAAGGUGAUUGGACUGAUAGCCUUGACCUUAGUAGUAGUCGAUAAUGCCCUUCUUCAGCGGUAAGUAGUGAAUACGAUUGAUUUCCAGUUAACAGUGGAGAAUUGCCUGUUCAAGUUCCAGGUAAGGAGUAAUAAGAAUAUGAAUAAGAAGCGGGAAGUUACGUUA